rnacentral:misc_RNA from 1 species
UACGGAGGGUGCAAGCGUUGUUCGGAAUUAUUGGGCGUAAAGGGCGUGUAGGUGGCUUUCCAAGUCUGGUGUGAAAUCCCACGGCUCAACCGUGGAACUGCAUUGGAAACUGGAUGGCUCGAGGGUUGGAGGGGGUCGCGGAAUUCCCGGUGUAGAGGUGAAAUUCGUAGAUAUCGGGAGGAACACCAGUGGCGAAGGCGGCGACCUGGCCAAUCACUGACACUGAGACGCGAAAGCGUGGGGAGCAAACAGG